CCAUCCCGAACACGGAAGUUAAGCCCUCCAGCGCCGAUGGUACUUGGGGUUCACCCCUGGGAGAGUAGGUCGUUGCCAGGC
rnacentral:rRNA from 2 species